rnacentral:rRNA from 1 species
AUGCAGAAGACGCUUCGACAAAAAUGUAAAAAUAAACGUAGAAUUGAAGCAUCGAUGGCUGAGGCAUUCAUCACUGAGGAGGCGGCAAACUUCGUGACAGCACACUACGAAGCCAAAAAUCGUCAUUUGCAUAAUCCGAAGCCUCGGUACAAUGCUGACGACCCUAAAAAGGGUGGAUCCAACCUCAGCCUAUUCAAAGGGAAUCUCGCACCAGCCAGUGUUUCAAAUCCAGUAUCUUUGGAUAACGAACAAUGGCGGACCAUUUUGUUGUAUAUCUUCAACAACCUGAUAGAAGUGCGGCCGUACAUCGAGUAA